rnacentral:rRNA from 1 species
AGAGUUUGAUCCUGGCUCAGAUUGAACGCUGGCGGCAUGCUUUACACAUGCAAGUCGAACGGCAGCACGGGGGCAACCCUGGCUGGCGAGUGGCGAACGGGUGAGUAAUGCAUCGGAACGUGUCCUGUAAUGGGGGAUAACCUGGCGAAAGCCAGGCUAAUACCGCAUACGUCCUGAGGGAGAAAGCGGGGGCUCGCAAGACCCCGUGUUAUAGGGGCGGCCGAUGUCGGAUUAGCUGGUUGGUGGGGUAAAGGCCUACCAAGGCGACGAUCCGUAGCGGGUCUGAGAGGACGGCCCGCCACACUGGGACUGAGACACGGCCCAGACUCCUACGGGAGGCAGCAGUGGGGAAUUUUGGACAAUGGGGGCAACCCUGAUCCAGCCAUGCCGCGUGAGUGAAGAAGGCCUUCGGGUUGUAAAGCUCUUUCGGCCGGGAAGAAAUCGCAUCUCCUAAUACGGGGUGUGGAUGACGGUACUGGAAGAAGAAGCACCGGCUAACUACGUGCCAGCCGCCGCGGUAAUUC